GAAUUCGAUUCAGGCCUAACACAUGCAAGUCGAACGGCAGCACGGGUGCUUGCACCUGGUGGCGAGUGGCGAACGGGUGAGUAAUAUAUCGGAACGUACCUUAUCGUGGGGGAUAACGCAGCGAAAGCUGUGCUAAUACCGCAUAAGCCCUAAGGGGGAAAGCAGGGGACCGUAAGGCCUUGCGCGAUUAGAGCGGCCGAUACCUGAUUAGCUAGUUGGUGAGGUAAAGGCUCACCAAGGCAACGAUCAGUAGCUGGUCUGAGAGGACGAUCAGCCACACUGGGACUGAGACACGGCCCAGACUCCUACGGGAGGCAGCAGUGGGGAAUUUUGGACAAUGGGGGCAACCCUGAUCCAGAAAGGCCGCGUGAGUGAAGAAGGCCUUCGGGUUGUAACUCUAAGUGGUCAGGGAAGAAACAGCAGCUCUAAUACAGUA
rnacentral:rRNA from 1 species